GUGGAGUUGGUUGUUUAACUGGAUUUUGGACAGUGUGAUAGUGGGGUGUUGUUGGAAUAUUUUUAGGGUGUGAGUAGUAAGUUUUGGGGUGUUGAGACACGGAGGGGUUUAGAAGAGUUAAGUGUGGUGUGACAUUCCUUGAGAUCCAGUGGGGCUAUGCCCCGCCUGGGUUCAAAUCCCAGCCCCUGCGCCA
rnacentral:tRNA from 1 species